GUCCAGAUGGGCUUGAUCCAACCUAGGCCUAAAAAAUGAACAAAACAAAAACCAAAUAAAAUCUAUCUAUAAAUUCAAGACAGAGAAAUAUCUAGAAUCCUAAAAGGGGAAAAAGUUAAUUCUCCGUCUUCAUCUACCAUUUCGAAGCUCAAAUCGAUCGUCUCUUAUUUUCUAAUGAUGGAACUAAGAUGGAGAAGGCCAAAAUACAUUCUCUAUAUCGAGGCUUUAAUCCCAAAUCUACACUUUAUCAAGUUUGAGCAGAAUGAGCAUACUAGGAAGCUGAUACCAUCGCUUGAGAUUCAACAAAUAUAGAUAUUUUUUUUUCUAUCAAUCAUUUUCCUUUUAUGUCUAAUCUUUUUUGCUGCUCUUGUACCUCUUAUACUGAUUUGUCCUUCUUUGUUGUUUUCAGGAUGAUAUUUUCCUACAUUCAUUAUCUUCCAGUAGAUUGAGCUUAAUCAAAAGCUUAUACAACUACUUGAUAUUCAGGAAAAAUAAGUACUUUAUCAUAUCAGUGAUUUUACCUCCUAAUGUUGCCUCUACUAUUGUUCUUGUUAUUGCACCUGCUUUGAUGA